rnacentral:pre_miRNA from 1 species
GUCACUCCAAGCAGCGAGUGGUGGCCGGUACUUGUCACUCCAAGUCGCUGCUUGGAGUGACAAGUACCGGCCACUCGCUGCUUGGAGUGACAAG